rnacentral:rRNA from 1 species
CUUGAACGCUGGCGGCAGGCUUAACACAUGCAAGUCGAGCGAGCGGCGGACGGGUGAGUAAGGUCUGGGAAACUGACUGAUGGAGGGGGAUAACUACUGGGAACGGUAACUACUAACGCAUACCAUCAGAUGUGCCCAGAUGGGAUUAGCUAGUAGGUGGGGUAAUGGCUCACCUAGGCGACGAUCCCUAGCUGGUGUGAGAGGAUGACCAGCAACACUGGAACUGAGACACGGUCCAGACUCCUACGGGAGGAAGCAGUGGGGAAGAUUGCACAAUGGGCGCAAGCCUGAUGCAGCCAUGCCGCGUGUGUGAAGAAGGCCUUCGGGUUGUAAAGCACUUUCAGUGGGGAGGCGUUACUCGCAGAAGAAGCACCGGCUAACUACGUGCCAGCAGCCGCGGUAAUAC